rnacentral:rRNA from 1 species
UUGCCCCUACGGGGGGCAGCAGUGAGGAAUAUUGGUCAAUGGCCGAGAGGCUGAACCAGCCAAGUCGCGUGAGGGAUGACGGCCCUACGGGUUGUAAACCUCUUUUGUCGGGGAGCAAGACCCGCCUCGUGCAGGCGGAGCGAGAGUACCCGAAGAAAAAGCAUCGGCUAACUCCGUGCCAGCAGCCGCGGUAAUACGGAGGAUGCGAGCGUUAUCCGGAUUUAUUGGGUUUAAAGGGUGCGCAGGCGGGGGUUCAAGUCAGCGGUAAAAUGUCGGGGCUCAACCCCGGCCGG